rnacentral:rRNA from 1 species
UAAGGAAUAUUGGUCAAUGGACGCAAGUCUGAACCAGCCAUGCCGCGUGGAGGAUGCAGGUCCUCUGGAUUGUAAACUUCUUUUAUCUGGGACGAAACACUUCUUUUCUAAGAGGCCUGACGGUACCAGAUGAAUAAGCACCGGCUAACUCCGUGCCAGCAGCCGCGGUAAUACGGAGGGUGCAAGCGUUAUCCGGAUUCACUGGGUUUAAAGGGUGCGUAGGUGGGUAUGUAAGUCAGUGGUGAAAUCCCCGAGCUUAACUUGGGAACUGCCAUAGUUACUACAUAUCUUGAGUACCGUAGAGGUAAGCGGAAUAUGUCAUGGAGCGGUGAAAUGCUUAGAUAUGACAUGGAACACCGAUUACGAAGGCAGCUUACUAUGCGGUGAUUGACACUGAGGAACGAAAGCGUGGG